UCACUUCCCAUUCACGAAAAAGCGCCUAUAUAGGUCAGUGCCGAGUUCGCUCGGCUAUGGUGAUAAAUUGCGAUGUGCAAUAGAUGCAGCGGACCCGGGGGCGGUACCCGGCAGCUCCACCAAAAUCUCUGUUCAUCAGAGGUCUUGGAGGGGCUGAACUAGGAUCGACGUG
rnacentral:tmRNA from 1 species